rnacentral:rRNA from 1 species
AGAAUCAACGCUGGCGGCGUGCCUAACACAUGCAAGUCGAGCGCGAAAGGGGAGCAAUCCCCAAGUAGAGCGGCGAACGGGUGAGUAACGCGUGGGUAAUCUGCCUCCGAGUGGGGAACAACAUCGGGAAACUGGUGCUAAUACCGCAUAACAUCAUUGGGUUUUCGGAUCUGAUGAUCAAAGCCGGGGACCGCAAGGCCUGGCGCUUGGAGAGGAGCCCGCGUCCGAUUAGCUAGUUGGUGGGGUAAUGGCCUACCAAGGCGACGAUCGGUA